rnacentral:rRNA from 1 species
AGUGAACGCUGGCGGUGGACCUAACACAUGCAAGUCGAACGGCAGCACAGUAAGAGCUUGCUCUUACGGGUGGCGAGUGGCGGACGGGUGAGGAAUACAUCGGAAUCUACUUUUUCGUGGGGGAUAACGUAGGGAAACUUACGCUAAUACCGCAUACGACCUACGGGUGAAAGCAGGGGAUCUUCGGACCUUGCGCGAUUGAAUGAGCCGAUGUCGGAUUAGCUAGUUGGCGGGGUAAAGGCCCACCAAGGCGACGAUCCGUAGCUGGUCUGAGAGGAUGAUCAGCCACACUGGAACUGAGACACGGUCCAGACUCCUACGGGAGGCAGCAGUGGGGAAUAUUGGACAAUGGGCGCAAGCCUGAUCCAGCCAUACCGCGUGGGUGAAGAAGGCCUUCGGGUUGUAAAGCCCUUUUGCUGGGAAAGAAAAGCAGCAGGUUAAUACCCCGCUGUUCUGACGGUACCCAAAGAAUAAGCACCGGCUAACUUCGUG